rnacentral:rRNA from 1 species
UACGUAGGAGGCAAGCGUUGUCCGGAAUUACUGGGCGUAAAGCGCGUGUAGGUGGUGGGACAAGUCUGCUGUGAAAGCGCCUGGCUUAACCGGGCGAGGUCGGCGGAAACUGGUCCGACUCGAGGACGGUAGAGGGGGGUGGAAUUCCCGGUGUAGUGGUGAAAUGCGUAGAGAUCGGGAGGAACACCUGUGGCGAAGGCGGCCCCCUGGGCCGGCCCUGACACUGAGACGCGAAGGCGUGGGGAGCGAACGGG